AAGUCGUAACAAGGUUUCCGUAGGUGAACCUGCGGAAGGAUCAUUAACACGUACGAAAGUACAUACCAACACUGUGAACCUUUUAACCAAGGUACAACCUCUCCCUUUAGUUGGGCUGCUAUGUAUGAACGGCGCUAGUGGACAUUCAUCAUAGUAGGCUCGUGUCUUUACACGAACCCACCUGAAGGUUACCAUUCUCCCAUUAGCAUAUUUUACCUAUUUCACCUAUAAUUACAUUUGUCUAAUGUAGCAGCUUGGAGAAAUCCUUGCAGCUUUGAUUAUCUAAACUAAGCACAACUCUUAGCAAUGGAUAUCUAGGUUCUC
rnacentral:misc_RNA from 1 species